rnacentral:lncRNA from 1 species
CAACACAUUUGUGAAGGAAUUUUUACUCCCCAAAAGAGCGCCCCCCCCCAUGGCAGGAGAAAAAAGUCCAUUUUUUCUUGUCCCCUAAGGUGAAAAUACAUAUUGUUGAGAUUCACGCCUAUACGCUUUGUCAUAAUGACACAAAAUUUGACAAUCACGUGCCUUGCCUGGUAUCAUUUUUUUCAGCACAACCUCACCUGUGCGAAUUUACAGUUAUUUUAUCAUGUUGACAUACUGAAUUUACACAAUGGACCCAAAUUCACACACAAAACAUAAAAUCCGAGUGGAAAAAAGUAACAUUUUUACUGUGAAAACCACAAAUAUGUGUGAUGAACUGUUUUUAAAACUUAAACUUCAAAUAAAAAUUGUAAACUUCAAAACAUAUGCAAAUUUUUAACAAAGAACAUAGUGAUUUACCUCUAUUUACAUCAAAAUGCAGGCAAUGGCCCAGGCGUUCUUUGUAAAAUUAUUUACAAAACACUGUAUAGUCUCACAAAUGUCACUUUUUAUUUAUGCCACUACAAAAAAACAUGAUGUAAAUGAUGCAUGAUGUAAAACAUGAUGUAAAAAACUUGUGUAGAUCCUCCUCUAUGUCAGUCCAUGUGUAAUUUUUCCAUAAUUCUUUGUUUUUUGCAGCAUUUUUGUUAGUGUAACUGCAGAUUGUGCUGACAGUGUCUAUGGCACAAAAAAAAAAAAAAAAAUUAAAAUGCCUCAACAUGAACCCCUGGUGGUCUCUGAGGGUGAAACCUGCUAACUGCUGCAGCUCUGUCAGCUUCAGUCUCCCAUGCAGAGCUCUGAGCGCAUGUGUGGCUCUGCACCCUUAGCAGCGUUGCUAACUCCUCAGUAAGGAAAGCCUGCUUCAUGUCAGAGUCUCUAAACUCCAGAAGAAGUCGAUAAAAGUCCCUUUCUUUCUAAAAAAAAGUCGUUAGGGGGUCUGAAAAGUCAUUGAAUCUAACAACAAAGUCGCUAGGUUUGCAACUACGUGUCCCAGACUGCAUCCCUGCUGAGAGUCCCUCCCUCCCUUCUCAUGUUGCAGGAAGAACGUAAGCGCCCUCCCCUUGUCAAUCAGUCACCAUAUAAUUUUGGAUUGGUUGUUGUGGUGAAGUUUUCCACCAAUAGGAGAGAUGUUGUGGUGUGUUUUUUUUUUCUUUUGGCAAGCCUUUUCCGCCUGUAAGACCUGUCGCUAAUGUCUGCAUGCUAUGUUUUCCUGUCUCAUACAGCGCGAUCGAGCGCCGAACGUGAUCAAAAUAAGCAGAAAAAAAGUAUCGCGGACAUAAUUUAUCAUAACUCUGGUUUUAUUUGGCCUAUCAACACAAUUUAAAAACUGGUAUAUAGGUUGAGGUCCUCACUUUUGAGAUAAGUUGAAACGGAGAGUCAACGAGGCUCCGUCUUGCAGCUACAUCCGGUUAAAUAUGUCAUGUGACUUGAACGCACACACAGACACACACACACACGCACACACACACACACACACACACACACACACACACACACACACACACACACUCAGAGUCUGGUUUUUAGCACCUGCAAAAACAUGCUAUUUACAUAUUUGACAAGAAUGCAGAGGCUCCUUUUGCCCCUGAAAAAAAAAUCAAAUUUCAAACACAACUUGACUGGUCAUUUCUCCAAAAGACAACCAUGAAGCUCCAUCCAAACCUGAAGCAGGCAGUUGGUGCAUGUGUACAGUAACCUGAGGGGAGUGAGGUGAGUGCUUCUGAGGAGAACAUGAGCAGUGAAGAUUCACCUUGGAGCUAGAACAGAGACAUGCACAUGAUUAUACAGGGGCAGGGGCUCAAGUUUUUUCCAGUCGUUUAUACAAUAUGGAAAUUAAUGUGAAAUUAAAACACAAAGUAUUAAUAGAAAGGUAAUGACUGUCCUGUGUAGGUGACAGUGAUAUCGAAUAGGCUAGGCACUCACGAGGCUGGCUGUGGCAAGUGUAAGUGAAAGCAACACGCACUGGCAGGAAGAACAGCAAACGCCGAUGAAGGAAAAGGGUCUUUGCAGCGAUGGGCGUUACAAGAGAGGGCGAUGGCCAGAGGACACAAAUGGGACGGGGAGGCAGCACGUUGGGGGGGGGGGGGGGGGGGGGCGACACGGCUCGGGCCCGCCAGUGCCCCAACGGGGUCCUAGUUAUUAGGGCCCGAGCGUAGCUGCUAAGCAGCUGCGAGAGCCCUCUUGUUCCUGAUGGAUUCUUCUUUAGGGCCCGAGCCAGCUGCAGAGCAGCCGGGCGUAGGCCCUAUUAUUCCCCAAGUGGUUUUUCUUUGUUUCUUUCUUUCUUUUUUCUUUUUCCUCCCCUUUGAACUGGAAAAUGGCCCACUUCCCACUGGCGAAAACUCAUGAAAUUUGGCAGGACGACCGGGCCUGGUGAAAAAUUCGAUAUUCUGAAGUCGCCCAAACAAUAAAAUGCAAAAUGGCUCCAUAGCGCCCCCUAAGGUGGAAAUUCACACUAUUGACUGUCACGCCUGUACGCUUUGUCAUAUUGACACAAAAAUUGACACACAUAUGUAUCUCAAUAAGAUCUACAAAAAAGUCAGUGCGGCCGUAUCUGUCAAAAUUACGGUUAAAGGGUUAUUUCGCAUUUUUUGCCGAUCCGCACACAUUGGAAUUUCGCUAACUCCUCCGAAGGCUUUCGUUCCACCGGCACCACAUUUGCUCAGGCCAAUCUACACCCCGUGGCCAUUAAAAGUUAUCAAAAUCAUGACGCUGCACCCCAAGGUUUAGGUUCUAGGGGGCGCCAAAGAUAACACUAAAAUCCACAUAUUUAAAAGUCUUAUAACUUUUUAUUUUUGUCCUCACUGGCCUCCAAGUUUUCUAGGAUGAUGCAAUGUCCAGCCAUCAACACAUUUGUGAAGGAAUUUUUACUCCCCAAAAGAGCGCCCCCCCAUGGCAGGAGAAAAAAGUCCAUUUUUUCUUGUCCCCUAAGGUGAAAAUACACAUUGUUGAGUGUCACGCCUAUACGCUUUGUCAAAAUGACACAAAAAUUGACACACACAUGUAACUCAAUAAGAUCUACGAAAAAGUCAAUGCGCGCGUAUCUGUCAAAUGUACGGUUAAAGGGUUAUUUUGCAUUUUUUGCCGAUCCACACACAUUGGAAUUUCGCUAACUCCUCCGAAGGCUUUCGUUCCACCGGCACCACAUUUGCUCAGGCCAAUCUACACCCCGUGGCCAUUAAAAGUUAUCAAAAUCAUGACGCUGCACCCCACGGUUUAGGUUCUAGGGGGCGCCAAAGAUAACCCUAAAAUCCACAUAUUUAAAAGUCUUAUAACUUUUUAUUUUUGUCCUCACUGGCCUCCAAGUUUUCUAGGAUGAUGCAAUGUCCAGCCAUCAACACAUUUGUGAAGGAAUUUUUACUCCCCAAAAGAGCGCCCCCCCAUGGCAGGAGAAAAAAGUCCAUUUUUUCUUGUCCCCUAAGGUGAAAAUACAUAUUGUUGAGAUUCACGCCUAUACGCUUUGUCAUAUUGACACAAAAUUUGACAAUCACAUGUAUCUCAAUCAGAUCUACGAAAAAGUCUAUGCGCGCGUAUCUGUAAAAUGUACGGUUAAAGGGCUAUUUUGCAUUUUUUGCCGAUUCGCACACAUUGGAAUGUGGCUAACUCCUCCUAAGGCUUUCGUCCCACUGACACCAAAUUUGCUCAGGCCAAUCUACACCCCAUGGCCAUUCAAAGUUGUAAAAAUCAUGACGCUGCACCCCACGGUUUACGUUCUAGGGGGCGCCAAAGAUGACCCAAAUAUCCACAUUCUUAAAAGAAUCCACAUCCCCCCCCAUCCCCCAUCCCCCAUGGCAGGAGAAACAGUCAAGUUUUUCCUGCCCAUCACUCAAUGGCUCAUUCGCAUCACUCUCCCGGCAACACCGUAACGAGGAGCAACUUGCCGUUUGGAUAUAUCCUAGCUGUGUUUGUGCCCUCACUCAUGGUCCAGACUUUUUUCAAAUAGGACAUGUAGUUUGUCUGCAGCGAGUGUUUUGGUAGAAACUGCGCCUCCCAUUCAUUAUAAUGGGAAAUGACCACAGACAAGUGCGCACACCAUCUUUGGACCUUGAGUGUGACGCGAUCGGGAGGGGUAGGCGGUCGCGCUGGGGGCGGCGCAACGCGGCUCGGGCCCGACAGUGCCCCACCGGGGUCCUAGUUUGUUAUUAUUAGGGCCCGAGCGUAGCUGCUAAGCAGCUGCGAGAGCCCUAUUAUUCCCCAAGUGGUUUUUCUUUGUUUCUUUUUUCUUUUUCCUCCCCUUUGAACUGGAAAAUGGCCCACUUCCCACUGGCGAAAACUCAUGAAAUUUGGCAGGACGACCGGGCCUGGUGAAAAAUUUGAUAUUCUGAAGUCGCCCAAACAAUACAAUGCAAAAUGGCUCCAUAGCGCCCCCUAAGGUGAAAAAUUCACCUGACGCCUGUACGCUUUGUCAAAAUGACACAAAAAUUGACACACACAUGUAUCUCAAUAAGAUCUACAAAAAAGUCAGUGCGGGCGUAUCUGUCAAAUGUACGGUUAAAGGGUUAUUUCGCAUUUUUUGCCGAUCCGCACACAUUGGAAUUUCGCUAACUCCUCCGAAGGCUUUCGUUCCACCGGCACCACAUUUGCUCAGGCCAAUCUACACCCCAUGGCCAUUAAAAGUUAUUCAAAUCAUGACGCUGCACCCCACGGUUUAUGUUCUAGGGGGCGCCAAAGAUAACCCUAAAAUCCACAUAUUUCAAAGUCUUAUAACUUUUUAUUUUUGCCCUCACUGGCCUCCAAGUUUUCUAGGAUGAUGCAAUGUCCAGCCAUCAACACAUUUGUGAAGGAAUUUUUACUCCCCAAAAGAGCGCCCCCCCAUGGCAGGAGAAAAAAGUCCAUUUUUUCUUGUUCCAUAAGGUGAAAAUUCACACUAUUGACUGUCACGCCUGUACGCUUUGUCAAAAUUACACAAAAAUUGACACACACAUGUAUCUCAAUAAGAUCUACAAAAAAAGUCAGUGCGGGCGUAUCUGUCAAAUGUACGGUUAAAGGGUUAUUGCGCAUUUUUUGCCGAUCCGCACACAUUGGAAUUUCGCUAACUCCUCCGAAGGCUUUCGUUCAACCGGCACCACAUUUGCUCAGGCCAAUCUACACCCCAUGGCCAUUAAAAGUUAUUCAAAUCAUGACGCUGCACCCCACGGUUUAGGUUCUAGGGGGCGCCAAAGAUAACCCUAAAAUCCACAUAUUUAAAAGUCUUAUAACUUUUUAUUUUUGUCCUCUCUGGCCUCCAAGUUUUCUAGGAUGAUGCAAUGUCCAGCCAUCAACACAUUUGUGAAGGAAUUUUUACUCCCUAAAAGAGCGCCCCCCAUGGCAGGAGAAAAAAGUCCAUUUUUUCUUGUCCCAUAAGGUGAAAAUACACAUUGUUGACUGUCAUACCUGUAUGCUUUGUCAUAUUGACACAAAAUUUGACACACACAUGUAUCUCAAUAAGAUCUACGAAAAAGUCAAUGCGCGCGUAUCUGUAAAAUGUACGGUUAAAGGGCUAUUUUGCAUUUUUUGCCGAUUAGCACACAUUGGAAUGUGGCUAACUCCUCCUAAGGCUUUCGUCCCACUGACA